rnacentral:rRNA from 1 species
NCUUCCGNGNGACGACGGCUGGCCGAGCCUUCGGUGGGAGGACGGUGGUGCGAUAGCGCGUCGACGGAAAGGAGAGCACAUAAAAGGGGGUCUUCCGACGUUGCGUUGCUAGGACGCGGCCACUUUUUACGGUGCGACGGCCGUGUUGUCGCGUGCUGGAGUCGUCGAUGGGCGACACUUCAGGAGGCAGAGAGCGAGACGAGCAGGCGGCGCUUAACGUCGGCAGUCGGUUAGGUCGGUGCUUUUUUUGUUGGGUUGUCCCUUUCGGCAGCUUUAGGACAGAUCCUCUGUUCUUCCUCCACAGUGUUCUUCAACGCGGUCGAAAAGGGAAAAGACUCCGCGGUCUGCCAGCGGGAGACGAAA